rnacentral:lncRNA from 1 species
CAGGCCAAUCUGCACCCCAUGGCCAUUAAAAGUUAUUCAAAUCAUGACGCUGCACCCCACGGUUUACGUUCUCGGGGGCGCCAAAGAUAACCCAAAAAUCCACAUUCUUAAAAGUCUUAUAACUUUUUAUUUUUGUCCUCACUGGCCUCCAAGUUUUCUAGGAUGAUGCAAUGUCCAGCCAUCAACACAUUUGUGAAGGAAUUUUUACUCCCCAAAAGAGCGCCCCCCCAUGGCAGGAGAAAAAAGUCCAUUUUUUCUUGUCCCCUAACAUGAAAAUACACAUUGUUGAGUGUCACGCCUGAACGCUUUGUCAUAUUGACACAAAAAUUGACAAUCAUGUGUAUCUCAAUUAGAUCUACGAAAAAGUCAAAAAGCGCGUAUCUGUAUAAUGUACGGUUAAAGGGCUAUUUCGCAUUUUUUGCCGAUUCGCACACAUUGGAAUGUGGCUAUCUCCUCCUAAGGCUUUCGUCCCACCGAUACCAAAUUUGCUCAGGGCAAUCUACACCCCAUGCCCAUUCAAAGUUGUAAAACUCAUGACGCUGCACCCCACGGUUUACGUUCUAGGGGGCGCCAAAGAUGACCCAAAAAUCCACAUUCUUAAAAGUCAUUUUGGCCACUGCAGGAGUACAGAGUACUGCAGUUCUAGGGGGCGCCAAAGAUGACCCAAAAAUCCACAUUCUUAAAAGUCUUUUUGGCCACUGCAGGAGUACAGAGUACUGCAGGAUACACACACAUACACACACACACACACACACACACACACACACACACACACACACACACACUCAGAGUCUGUUUUUUAGCACCUGCAAAAACAUGCUGUUUACAUAUUUGACAAGAAUGCAGAGGCUUCCUUUUGCCCCUGAAAAAAAUCAGAUUUCAAACACAACUUGACUGUUCAUUUCUCCAAAAGACAACCAUGAAGCUCCAUCCAAACCUGAAGCAGAUAGUUGGUGCAUGUGUACAGUAACCUGAGGGGAGUGAGGUGACUAUUUCUGAGGAGAACAUGAGCAGUGAAGAUUCACCUUGGAGCUAGAACAGGGACGUGCACAUGAUUAUACAGGGGCAGGGGCUCAAGUUUUUUCCAGUCAUUUAUACAAUAUGGAAAUUAAUGUGAAAUUAAACCACAAAUAUGUGUGAUGAACUGUUUUUAAAACUUAAACUUCAAAUAAAAAUUGUAAACUUCAAAACAUAUGCAAAUUUUUAACAAAGAACAUAGUAAUUUACCUCUAUUUACAUCAAAAUGCAGGCAAUGGCCCAGGCGUUCUUUGUAAAAUUAUUUACAAAACACUGUAUAGUCUCACAAAUGUCACUUUUUAUUUAUGCCACUACAAAAAAACAUGAUGUAAAUGAUGCAUGAUGUAAAACAUGAUGUAAAAAACUUGUGUAGAUCCUCCUCUAUGUCAGUCCAUGUGUAAUUUUUCCAUAAUUCUUUGUUUUUUGCAGCAUUUUUGUUAGUGUAACUGCAGAUUGUGCUGACAGUCUAUGGCAAAAAAAACAAAAACUGAAAAUGCCUCAACAUGAACCCCUGGUGGUCUCUGAGGGUGAAACCUGCUAACUGCUGCAGCUCUGUCAGCUUCAGUCUCCCAUGCAGAGCUCGGAGCGCAUGUGUGGCUCUGCACCCUUAGCAGCGUUGCUAACUCCUCAGUAAGGAAAGCCUGCUUCAUGUCAGAGUCUCUAAACUCCAGAAGAAGUCGAUAAAAGUCCCUUUCUUUCUAAAAAAAAGUCGUUAGGGGGUCUGAAAAGUAAUUGAAUCUAACAACAAAGUCGCUAGGUUUGCAACUACGUGUCCCAGACUGCAUCCCUGCUGAGAGUCCCUCCCUCCCUUCUCAUGUUGCAGGAAGAACGUAAGCGCCCGCCCCUUGUCAAUCAGUCACCAUAUAAUUUUGGAUUGGUUGUUGUGGUGAAGUUUUCCACCAAUAGGAGAGAUGUUGUGGUGUGUUUUUUUUUUCUUUUGGCAAGCCUUUUCCGCCUGUAAGACCUGUCGCUAAUGUGUGCAUGCUAUGUUUUCCUGUCUCAUACAGCGCGAUCGAGCGCCGAACGUGAUCAAAACAAGCAGAAAAAAAGUAUCGCGGACAUAAUUUAUCAUAACUCUGGUUUUAUUUGGCCUAUCAACACAAUUUAAAAACUGGUAUAUAGGUUGAGGUCCUCACUUUUGAGAUAAGUUGAAACGGAGAGUUAACGAGGCUCCGUCUUGCAGCUACAUCCGGUUAAAUAUGUCAUGUGACUUGAACGCUGGGGAGAGUCAAUCGAAUCGAAUCAAACCUAACUCUCAGAUGAAUCUUCAAAAUUCACCUCAGAAAUAUGCUUAUUAUUCUUCUCAGAGUACUGCAGGAUACACACACACACACACACAGACACACGCACACACACACACACACACACACACACACACACUCAGAGUCUGUUUUUUAGCACCUGCAAAAACAUGCUAUUUACAUAUUUGACAAGAAUGCAGAGGCUUCCUUUUGCCCCUGAAAAAAGUCAAAUUUCAAACACAACUUGACUGCUCAUUUCUCCAAAAGACAACCAUGAAGCUCCAUCCAAACCUGAAGCAGGCAGUUGGUGCAUGUGUACAGUAACCUGAGGGGAGUGAGGUGACUGCUUCUGAGGAGAACAUGAGCAGUGAAGAUUCACCUUGGAGCUAGAACAGGGACGUGCACAUGAUAAUACAGGGGCAGGGGCUCAAGUUUUUUCCAGUCGUUUAUACAAUAUGGAAAUUAAUGUGAAAUUAAAAAACAAAGUAUGACUGUCCUGUGUAGGUGACAGUGAUAUCCAAUAGGCUAGGCACUCACGAGGCUGGCUGUGGCAAGUGUAAGUGAAAGCAACACGCACUGGCAGGAAGAACAGCAAACGCCGAUGAAGGAAAAGGGUCUUUGCAGUGAUGGGCGUUACCAGAGAGGGCGAUGGCCAGAGGAAACGAAUGGGACGGGGAGGCAGCGCAUUGGGGGGGGGGGGGUGCGACACGGCUCGGGCCCGCCAGUGCCCCAACGGGGCCCUAGUUCUUCUUUAGGGCCCGAGCGUAGCUGCUAAGCAGCUGCGAGAGCCCUCUUGUUCCUGAUGGAUUCUUCUUUUGUUAUUAGGGCCCGAGCGUAGCUGCUAAGCAGCUGCGAGAGCCCUAUUAUUCCUGAUGGAUUCUUCUUUCUUCUUCUUCUUCUUCUUAUUAUUUUUCUGCCCCUUUGAACUGGAAAAUGGCCCACUUCCCACUGGUGAAAAGUCAUGAAAUUUGGCAGGACGACCGGGCCUGGUGAAAAAUUCGAUAUUCUGAAGUCGCCCAAAAAAUCAAAUGCAAAAUGGCUCCAUAGCGCCCCCUAAGGUGAAAAAUUCACAUGAUUGAGUGUCACGCCUGUACGUUUUGUCAAAAUGACACAAAAUUUGACACACACGUGUAUCUCAAUAAGAUCUACAAAAAAGUCAGUGCGGGCGUAUCUGUCAAAUGUACGGUUAAAGGUUUAUUUCGCAUUUUUUGCCGAUCCGCACACAUUGGAAUUUCGCUAACUCCUCCGAAGGUUUUCCUUCCACCGGCACCACAUUUGCUCAGGCCAAUCUACACCCCAUGGCCAAUAAAAGUUGUACAAAUCAUGACGCUGCACCCCACGGUUUACGUUCUAGGGGGCGCCAAAGAUAACCCAAAAAUCCACAGUCUUAAAAGUCUUAUAACUUUUUAUUUUUGUCCUCACUGGCCUCCAAGUUCUCUAGGAUGAUGCAAUGUCCAGCCAUCAACACAUUUGUGAAGGAAUUUUUACUCGCCAAAAGAGCGCCCCCCCAUGGCAGGAGAAAAAUGUCCAUUUUUUCUUGUCUCCUAAGGCGAAAAUACACAUCGUUGACUGUCACGCCUUUACGCUUUGUCAAAAUGACACAAAAUUUGACACACACAUGUAUCUCAAUAAGAUCUACAAAAAAGUCAGUGCGGGCGUAUCUGUCACAUGUACGGUUAAAGGGUUAUUUCGCAUUUUUUGCCGAUCCGCACACAUUGGAAUUUCGCUAACUCCUCUGAAGGCUUUCGUUCCAACGGCACCACAUUUGCUCAGGCCAAUCUACACCCCAUGGCCAUUAAAAGUUGUACAAAUCAUGACACUGCACCCCACGGUUUACGUUCUAGGGGGCGCCAAAGAUAACCCAAAAUCCACAGUCUUAAAAGUCUUAUAACUUUUUAUUUUUGUCCUCACUGGCCUCCAAGUUCUCUAGGAUGAUGCAAUGUCCAGCCAUCAACACAUUUGUGAAGGAAUUUUUACUCGCCAAAAGAGCGCCCCCCCAUGGCAGGAGAAAAAAGUCCAUUUUUUCUUGUCUCCUAAGGCGAAAAUACACAUUGUUGAUUGUCACGCCUUUACGCUUUGUCAAAAUGACACAAAAUUUGACACACACAUGUAUCUCAAUAAGAUCUACGAAAAAGUCAAUGCGAGCGUAUCUGUUCAAUGUACGGUUAAAGGGCUAUUUUGCAUUUUUUGCCGAUUCGCACACAUUGGAAUGUGGCUAACUCCUCCUAAAGCUUUUGUCCCAUCGGCUUCAAAUUUGCUCAGGUCAAUCUACACCCCAUGGCCAUUCAAAGUUGUACAAAUCAUGACGCUGCACCCCACGGUUUACGUUCUAGGGGGUGCCAAAGAGGACCCAAAUAUCCACAUUUUUAAAAGUCUUAUAACUUUUUAUUUUUGUCCUCACUGGCCUCCAAGUUUUCUAGGAUGAUGCAAUGUCCAGCCAUCAACA